rnacentral:rRNA from 1 species
UCCCAGAGCUUAACUCUGGAACUGCCAUCAAAACUUUUUAGCUAGAGUAUGAUAGAGGAAAGCAGAAUUUCUAGUGUAGAGGUGAAAUUCGUAGAUAUUAGAAAGAAUACCAAUUGCGAAGGCAGCUUUCUGGAUCAUUACUGACACUGAGGAACGAAAGCAUGGGUAGCGAAGAGGAUUAGAUACCCUCGUAGUCCAUGCCGUAAACGAUGUGUGUUAGACGUUGGAAAUUUAUUUUCAGUGUCGCAGCGUAAGCAAUAAACACACCGCCUGGGGAGUACGACCGCAAGGUUAAAACUCAAAUGAAUUGACGGGGACCCGCACAAGUAGUGGAGCAUGUGGUUUAAUUCGAAGAUACGCGCAGAACCUUACCAACACUUGACAUGUUCGUCGCGACUUUAAGAGAUUAGAGUUUUCGGUUCGGCCGGACGAAACACAGGUGCUGCAUGGCUGUCGUCAGCUCGUGUCGUGAGAUGUUGGGUUAAGUCCCGCAACGAGCGCAACCCUCACUUUUAGUUGCCAUCAUUUAGUUGGGCACUCUGAAAGAACUGCCAGUGAUAAGCUGGAGGAAGGUGGGGAUGACGUCAAGUCCUCAUGGCCCUUACGUGUUGGGCUACACACGUGCUACAAUGGCAUUUACAACAGGAAGCAAAACGGCGACGUUAAGCAAAUCCUAAAAAAAUGCCUCAGUUCGGAUUGUACUCUGCAACUCGAGUACAUGAAGCUGGAAUUACUAGUAAUCGCGGAUCAGCGCGCCGCGGUGAAUACGUUCCCGGGUCUUGUACACACCGCCCGUCACACCAUGGGAGUUGGUUCUACCUUAAGGCAAAGGUUAAAAACUUUGACCACGGUAUAGUCAGCGACUGGGGUGAAGUCGUAACAAGGUAACC